UACGUAGGGUGCGAGUGUUGUCCGGAAUUAUUGGGCGUAAAGAGCUCGUAGGCGGCUUGUCGCGUCGGAUGUGAAAGCCCGGGGCUUAACUCCGGGUCUGCAUUCGAUACGGGCAGGCUAGAGUUCGGUAGGGGAGAUCGGAAUUCCUGGUGUAGCGGUGAAAUGACGCAGAUAUCAGGAGGAACACCGGUGGCGAAGGCGGAUCUCUGGGCCGAUACUGACGCUGAGGAGCGAAAGCGUGGGGAGCGAACAGG
rnacentral:rRNA from 1 species